rnacentral:rRNA from 1 species
AGAGUUUGAUCCUGGCUCAGGAUGAACGCUGGCGGCGUGCCUAAUACAUGCAAGUCGAGCGAACGGACGAGAAGCUUGCUUCUCUGAUGUUAGCGGCGGACGGGUGAGUAACACGUGGAUAACCUACCUAUAAGACUGGGAUAACUUCGGGAAACCGGAGCUAAUACCGGAUAAUAUUUUGAACCGCAUGGUUCAAAAGUGAAAGACGGUCCUACUGUCACUUAUAGAUGGAUCCGCGCUGCAUUAGCUAGUUGGUAAGGUAACGGCUUACCAAGGCAACGAUGCAUAGCCGACCUGAGAGGGUGAUCGGCCACACUGGAACUGAGACACGGUCCAGACUCCUACGGGAGGCAGCAGUAGGGAAUCUUCCGCAAUGGGCGAAAGCCUGACGGAGCAACGCCGCGUGAGUGAUGAAGGUCUUCGGAUCGUAAAACUCUGUUAUUAGGGAAGAACAUAUGUGUAAGUAACUGUGCACAUCUUGACGGUACCUAAUCAGAAAGCCACGGCUAACUACGUGCCAGCAGCCGCGGUAAUACGUAGGUGGCAAGCGUUAUCCGGAAUUAUUGGGCGUAAAGCGCGCGUAGGCGGUUUUUUAAGUCUGAUGUGAAAGCCCACGGCUCAACCGUGGAGGGUCAUUGGAAACUGGAAAACUUGAGUGCAGAAGAGGAAAGUGGAAUUCCAUGUGUAGCGGUGAAAUGCGCAGAGAUAUGGAGGAACACCAGUGGCGAAGGCGACUUUCUGGUCUGUAACUGACGCUGAUGUGCGAAAGCGUGGGGAUCAAACAGGAUUAGAUACCCUGGUAGUCCACGCCGUAAACGAUGAGUGCUAAGUGUUAGGGGGUUUCCGCCCCUUAGUGCUGCAGCUAACGCAUUAAGCACUCCGCCUGGGGAGUACGACCGCAAGGUUGAAACUCAAAGGAAUUGACGGGGACCCGCACAAGCGGUGGAGCAUGUGGUUUAAUUCGAAGCAACGCGAAGAACCUUACCAAAUCUUGACAUCCUUUGACAACUCUAGAGAUAGAGCUUUCCCCUUCGGGGGACAAAGUGACAGGUGGUGCAUGGUUGUCGUCAGCUCGUGUCGUGAGAUGUUGGGUUAAGUCCCGCAACGAGCGCAACCCUUAAGCUUAGUUGCCAUCAUUAAGUUGGGCACUCUAAGUUGACUGCCGGUGACAAACCGGAGGAAGGUGGGGAUGACGUCAAAUCAUCAUGCCCCUUAUGAUUUGGGCUACACACGUGCUACAAUGGACAAUACAAAGGGCAGCGAAACCGCGAGGUCAAGCAAAUCCCAUAAAGUUGUUCUCAGUUCGGAUUGUAGUCUGCAACUCGACUACAUGAAGCUGGAAUCGCUAGUAAUCGUAGAUCAGCAUGCUACGGUGAAUACGUUCCCGGGUCUUGUACACACCGC